UACAGAGGUCUCGAGCGUUAGGCGGAAUCAUUGGGCGUAAAGCGCGUGUAGGCGGUCCGGUAAGUCCGCUGUGAAAGUCGGGGGCUCAACCCUCGGAUGCCGGUGGAUACUGUCGGGCUUGAGUACGGAAGAGGCGAGUGGAAUUCCUGGUGUAGCGGUGAAAUGCGCAGAUAUCAGGAGGAACACCAAUUGCGAAGGCAGCUCGCUGGGACGUUACUGACGCUGAGACGCGAAAGCGUGGGGAGCAAACAGG
rnacentral:rRNA from 1 species